rnacentral:rRNA from 1 species
GGUCCUUCGGGAUACUCGAGUGGCGAACGGGUGAGUAACACGUAUGUAACCUGUCUUUCGGUGGGGGAUAACUCAAGGAAACUUGAGCUAAUACCAAAUACGCUAUAGAGUCCACAGGUUCUAUAGUAAAAUCUUCUUGGCUGAUUGAUGGGCCUGCGCCUUAUUAGCUUGUUGGUGAGGUAACGGCUCACCAAGGCUUCGAUGAGUAACCGGCCUUAGCGGGUGAUCGGCCACACUGGAACUGAAAUACGGCCCAGACUCCUACGGGAGGCAUGACUUAACAAUCUUGCGCGAUGGGGGCAACCCUGACGCAGCGACACCCCGUGGAGGAAGAAGGCCCUAGGGUUGUAAACUCCAAUAGGGAGGGACUAGGAAAGUGACGGUACCUGUUGAAAGCACCGGCUAAAUACCUGCCAUCAGACUCGGUGAUACGUAUGGUGCAAGCGUUGUUCCUAAUCACUGGUCGUAAAGCCCGCCCACGCGGAUUGGUAACUUGGGUGUGAAAUCCCCGGGCUCAACCCGGGGGCUGCUCUCGAAACUGCAAAUCUNGNGUCCUGGAGAGGCANACUGAAUUCCNACUGUAAUGGUGAAAUGCGUAGAUAUCGNGAGGAACACCGAUGGCGAANGCANUCUGCUGGACAGUGACUGACGCUCNAGCGCGAAAGUGUGCGGAGCAAACAGGAUUAGAUACCCUGGUAGUCCACACCCUCAACNUUGUCNACCAGUCNUCUGGUGUGUCNACCCCCCUCGGGGACGCACCUAACAGAUCUANNCNACNNNNUANNNACUAGGCUCUCAACAGUGAAACUCANANGAUUNACAGNUCGNCCGCACNAGCANAGCANUAUCUGGNUUAGNUCUNUGAUGNNNNAANANCCNNAC